rnacentral:rRNA from 1 species
UACAGAGGUCUCAAGCGUUGUUCGGAUUCAUUGGGCGUAAAGGGUGUGUAGGUGGCGCCGUAAGUCCGGGGUGUGAAAUCUCGGGGCUUAACUCCGAAACUGCAUUCGAUACUGCGGUGCUUGAGGACUGGAGAGGAGACUGGAAUUCAUGGUGUAGCAGUGAAAUGCGUAGAGAUCAUGAGGAAGACCAGUGGCGAAGCGGUCUCUGGACAGUUCCUGACACUGAGACACGAAGGCCAGGGAGCAAAGCGGG